rnacentral:rRNA from 1 species
GAUGAACGCUGGCGGCGUGCCUAAUACAUGCAAGUCGAGCGAACAGACGAGGAGCUUGCUCCUCUGACGUUAGCGGCGGACGGGUGAGUAACACGUGGAAAACCUACCUAUAAGACUGGGAUAACUUCGGGAAACCGGAGCUAAUACCGCAUAAUAUAUUGAACCGCAUGGUUCAAUAGUGAAAGACGGUUUUGCUGUCACUUAUAGAUGGAUCCGCGCCGCAUUAGCUAGUUGGUAAGGUAACGGCUUACCAAGGCAACGAUGCGUAGCCGACCUGGGAGGGUGAUCGGCCACACUGGAACUGAGACACGGUCCAGACUCCUACGGGAGGCAGCAGUAGGGAAUCUUCCGCAAAGGGCGAAAGCCUGACGGAGCAACGCCGCGUGAGUGAUGAAGGUCUUCGGAUCGUAAAACUCUGUUAUUAGGGAAGAACAAAUGUGUAAGUAACUAUGCACGUCUUGACGGUACCUAAUCAGAAAGCCACGGCUAACUACGUG